rnacentral:sRNA from 1 species
CUCUAAAUGCAUUAAUUUUUUACAAGUAAACUCUUUAUGUUGCUCAUCUAGAACAUAAUCUAUGAAAACAAAUUGUAGGAUUUGAUUCAUAGUUUGGGGUAUAAAAAUAAAACUUUUAACAUAUUAUUUAAUUUAUUUCUGCAGAUCCCCAAGUAAGCCCUUGGCACGGAAAUUAAUGGAUUGGGAAGUAGUAAGCAGAAAUUCAUUAUCUGAUGACAGGUUAGAAACACAAAGCCUUCCAUCACGAUCUCCACCAGGAACUCCUAAUCAUCGAAAUUCUACAUUCACGCAGGAAGGAACCCGGUUACGACCAUCUUCAGUUGGUCAUUUGGUAGACCAUAUGGUUCAUACUUCCCCAAGCGAAGUGUUUGUGAAUCAGAGAUCUCCGUCAUCAACACAAGCUAAUAGCAUUGUUCUGGAAUCAUCACCGUAAGAGCUUUUUUAUUUUGCUUCCUUUGCAUUUUCAAAUGCCCCAAAUUGCUUUACUUAAAAUAAUCUGGGAAAUUAGGAUAUUCGAUACAAGAUUUUAAUUAUGCAACUUUUCAAAAUUUAUAUAUUUGCAAUUAUGCUCAUUU